rnacentral:rRNA from 1 species
CCUUACCACCAAAUAACCCUGAAUGCGCCCAAACCUCGUCACAUCUCUGAAGCUCACCGGGGUCGAAUGUGGUUAGCGAGCACUUGUAUGGGGGACUGCCUGUGAAUACCCGGUGUUGGAGAC